rnacentral:tRNA from 1 species
GGAGGGUAUAGCUCAGUGGUAGAGCACAUGCUUAGCAUGCAUGAGGUCCUGGGUUCAACCCCCAGUACCUCCA